rnacentral:lncRNA from 1 species
AGUGUCGUCACAAACUCGUGACGUCCCCGCGUGACCUCACCGCUGCGGGGCGAUGGAGCGAAAAGUGAGGAAACUGAAGUCCCGGGAGAGACAGUGGCAAGGUCAAGUAGCAAAGUGCACUCAGCCCUCCCAGCAAGGAGUCUGCCACUCGCGCUUGAAGGACGUGUUUGAAGAGCUGCUUUCCCAGUGGGAUGCUGCCUUAAAGUCUUGAUUCCCUGGCACUCUUUCCUAUUACUACAUUUUAUCGGUGCUGUUUGUGUUAUGCAACGGUAGCAUCGUGUCUCCGGAAGAUAAAAAAGGUCUCGAUACAAACAUCCAUAACCUUCCACCCACUCCGUCAGGAACAACCCAAUCAAAAUAAAGUCAUGAGAA